UACGAAGGGGGCUAGCGUUGUUCGGAAUUACUGGGCGUAAAGCGCGCGCAGGCGGUUUUUCACGUCAGUGGUGAAAGCCCGGAGCUCAACUCCGGAACUGCCAUUGAAACUGUAAAACUUGAGGACGAGAGAGGUGAGUGGAAUUCCCAGUGUAGAGGUGAAAUUCGUAGAUAUUGGGAAGAACACCGGUGGCGAAGGCGGCUCACUGGCUCGUAUCUGACGCUCAGGCGCGACAGCGUGGGGAUCAAACAGG
rnacentral:rRNA from 1 species